GAUGAACGCUGGCGGCGUGCCUAAUACAUGCAAGUCGGGCGAAUGGAUUAAGAGCUUGCUCUUAUGGAGUUAGCGGCGGACGGGUGAGUAACACGUGGGUAACCUGCCCAUAAGACUGGGAUAACUCCGGGAAACCGGGGCUAAUACCGGAUAAUAUUUUGAACUGCAUGGUUCAAAAUUGAAAGGCGGCUUCGGCUGUCACUUAUGGAUGGACCCGCGUCGCAUUAGCUAGUUGGGGAGGUAACGGCUCACCAAGGCAACGAUGCGUAGCCGACCUGAGAGGGUGAUCGGCCACACUGGGACUGAGACACGGCCCAGACUCCUACGGGAGGCAGCAGUAGGGAAUCUUCCGCAAUGGACGAAAGUCUGACGGAGCAACGCCGCGUGAGUGAUGAAGGCUUUCGGGUCGUAAAACUCUGUUGUUAGGGAAGAACAAGUGCUAGUUGAAUAAGCUGGCACCUUGACGGUACCUAACCAGAAAGCCACGGCUAACUACGUGCCAGCAGCCGCAGUAA
rnacentral:rRNA from 1 species